UCUGAUGGCAUGAGUGUCACAAUGACUGGUAGAUUCUUAUCUGCUGCAGCCUUCAUCCGCCUUCACAGCCAUUGUAACAUACCACUUGCUAUCUUCUGCCUGUGCUGCCAUUGAGAAUUUCUUGAAUCAUUCUCUGUCUAGCUCCUCCCCCUUGACCUUACCGCCUUGGGUGACCCUACUGGGAGUACGAACUCCCGACAGCUUCGCUCACAAGGAUCAUAGGAAGGUGCAAGUCCACUCACCACAACAAGGUGAUGAUCCAGCGAGUGAUCCAGAUGCAUGCAAAUUCCGAAGAGAGAUUUUUGCUUAACUGAGCUUCAAGUCAGUGGAUAAGAUUGGAUUAUUGCAAGGCGCAGAACAAUGAGGAAAGCUCUCGGAUGCUGGGGGAAUUAAUUGGUACACAAUACAAUUAAGAAAACAGGCCAAGCAUAAGUGUGGAUGAGCACUCAGUAGAAAAUAAAGCAUUAUGGAUAUGCUCAAAUCCCAACUUUGCUUCUGAUCUUCCAGGACUGUGUUGUGGCUCAGAAUUAAAGCCUCAUUAUACUAUUCAUCUACUGACUACAGUUCUACAUGACUCCUUCAUCACAUGCUCACACAAGAAAUAAACCCAAACCCCCAAAGCACAGAAAAAUUAAUUAUUACCGUACCUUUGAUGGAAAGAAGACCGAUGCUGGGGGCUUCCGACGGCAAGCAAACACCUCCGAGGAGCAGGAACAUUGAUGAAAAACGAUUUCCAUGGUUUCACUGGUCAGCUCAGCAGGCUGAUGCAGUAAUCUUCAAGCUCCACAGGAAAGAGCAGAAGUUAUGACGAGUGCCGGAGGCAGAAGCAAACAUUUGGUCAUAUUCAGCCUUGCAUAUAUCAGAAAACUGCCAGACAUUCAUGCAACGCUAAGAACACUGUCCUAGUUUGGGGAGAGAAUAGGCUAUUUGGAAUGUGGAAUAAAGAGGAUUGAUUUUUCUCUCUCAAGACUGUCAGCACUUUUCUAAAG